rnacentral:rRNA from 1 species
ACGCUCGACACCUACGGAGGCAGCAGUCGGGAAUAUUGCGCAAUGGAGGAAACUCUGACGCAGUGACGCCGCGUAUGGGAAGAAGGUUUUCGGAUUGUAAACCAUUUUAGACAGGGAAGAAAAAAGACAGUACCUGUAAAAUAAAGCUCCGGCUAACUACGUGCCGGCAGCCGCGGUAAUCUGAGCGGGCUGGCAAGGC